rnacentral:rRNA from 1 species
UACGAACUGUGCAAACGUUAUUCGGAAUCACUGGGCUUAAAGGGUGCGUAGGCGGCUUGUUAAGUAGGGUGUGAAAUCCCCCGGCUCAACCGGGGAAUUGCGCCCUAAACUGGCGAGCUGGAGUGAGAUAGGGGUGUGUGGAACUUCCAGUGGAGCGGUGAAAUGUGUUGAUAUCCUAAGGAACACCGGUGGCGAAAGCGGCGUACUGGGUCUUUUCUGACGCUGAGGCACGAAAGCUAGGGUAGCGAACGGG